UACGUAGGGUCCGAGCGUUGUCCGGAAUUAUUGGGCGUAAAGGGCUCGUAGGCGGUUUGUCACGUCGGGAGUGAAAACUUACAGCUUAACUGUGAGCGUGCUUCCGAUACGGGCAGACUUGAGGUAUUCAGGGGAGAACGGAAUUCCUGGUGUAGCGGUGAAAUGCGCAGAUAUCAGGAGGAACACCGGUGGCGAAGGCGGUUCUCUGGGAAUAUCCUGACGCUGAGGAGCGAAAGUGUGGGGAGCGAACAGG
rnacentral:rRNA from 1 species